CAACCUGCAAACGCAAGAGUUCAUCCUUAAUACCUCACCAUACUACUGAAUUUGUCAAACACCAGGAUGGACCUACCGCCAUUGCUUCAGUAUCUGAACUUACUCAAUAUCUAAAUGAGAAAUAAAUAUAUUUGUGGACGUCUUUAACCAUAAUAUAAAUUCCAUUUUCCUUGUAUAGUUUUUAACCAUAUUAACAUUCAUUGGCAGCCAACAAGUUUGCAGUUUUCUGGAGCAAGACCCACGCUUACUGCAUCGGCGGAUCUCCCUCCUCAAGUUGAUCUGAUGGCAGCUGUAUUAGACCCUUUGGUUGGAUUAUGCAUCACAAAGUUGCAAGAAAUCAUUGCAGAUAAGGCAGUGCUAAUUCUUGGUGUAAAAGAUGAACUAAGAAAACUGCAAGGAACAAUGAAACAAAUACGAUGCUUUCUAGAUGAUGCUGAGCAAAGGAGGAUAAAGGAGUCAGCAGUUAACAAUUGGCUUAGUGAUCUAAGAGAUGCUAUGUAUGAUGCUGAUGACAUUGUUGACUCAGCUAGAUUCGAAGGAAGCAAGUUACUGAAAGAUCACCCAUCAUCACCAGCAAGAAACUCAACUGCAUGUUGUGGCAUUUCGUUUUUAUCUUGCUUUCCUGUUAUUCAGAAGCGUCAUGAAAUUGCUGUCAAGAUCAGAGACCUGAACGACAGAGUUGAGAAGCUCUCAAAGCAUGGAAAUAGCUUUCUACAUCUUGGUGCCGGACCUACUGGCCAAGGUUCAACAUCGAAAGUCAGAGAAACUUCCAAGCUUGUACAACCCAACCUUGUGGGAAAGGAGAUUAUGCAUUCUAGCAAGAAAUUGGUGGAUUUAAUCCUUGCAGGCAAGGAACGGAAGGAUUAUAAGCUCGCUAUUGUUGGAACUGGAGGAGUUGGUAAGACAACACUAGCUCAGAAAAUAUACAAUGAUAAAAAAAUAAAACCAAACUUUCAGAAAAAAGCAUGGGUUUGUGUUUCUCAAGAGUGUAAUGAAGUUAAUCUUCUAAAGGAGAUUCUCCGCAAUAUUGGAGUGUAUCAAGAUCAAGGUGAAACCAUACCUGAACUCCAGAACAGGAUUGCAGAAACAAUUGAAGGCAAGAGUUUCUUUCUUGUCCUAGAUGAUGUGUGGGAGUCUAGUGUGAUUGAUCUAUUAGAGGCCACAAUAGAUUUUGCAGCUUCAUCAAUAAUUUUGGUAACCACACGAGAUGAUAGAAUUGCAAUGGAUAUCCAUGCAGCACAUACGCAUCGAGUUAACCUUAUGUCAGAAGAGGUGGGGUGGGAGCUAUUUUGGAAGAGCAUGAGCAUAAAUGAAGAGAAAGAAGUGCAGCAUCUGAGAAACACGGGCAUUGAGAUUAUUAAAAAAUGUGGUUACCUCCCCCUAGCAAUCAAGGUCAUAGCUCGUGUUUUGACAAGCAAAGAUCAAACAGAGAACGAGUGGAAAAAGAUUUUGAGCAAAAUCAGUGCAUGGUCUGAGAGCAAACUUCACGAUGAUAUAGGAGGAGCUUUAUAUCUGAGCUAUAAUGAGUUACCACAUCAUCUGAAGCAAUGUUUCCUUUAUUGUGCAUUGUAUCCUGAAGAUUCUACCAUCGAACGUGAUGAUCUUGUCAGGUUAUGGGUUGCUGAAGGCUUCAUAGUGGAGCAACAAGGCCAGCUACUAGAAGAAACAGGAGAGGAGUACUACUAUGAACUAAUCCACAGGAAUCUUCUCCAACCAGAUGGUUCAACUUUUGACCAUACUAGCUGCAAAAUGCAUGACCUCUUAAGGCAGCUUGCUUGCUACUUAUCAAGAGAUGAAUGCUUUAUUGGAGAUCCUGAAUCAUUAGAGGGUCAAAGCAUGACUAAACUACGGCGCAUUUCAGCUGUCACCAAGAAGGAUAUGUUAGUGUUCCCUACCAUGGAGAAGGAACAUCUUAAAGUGAGGACUUUACUUAGAAAGUUCUAUGGGGUCUCUCAAGGAGUUGAUCAUUCACUUUUCAAGAAGCUUUUGCGUCUUCGUGUUUUGGAUCUGACUGGUUCGUCCAUUCAAACAAUUCCAGUUUGCAUUGCAAAUUUAAUCCAUCUACGGUUGCUUGACCUCGAUGGUACAGAAAUAUCCUGUCUUCCAGAGGUCAUUGGCUCUCUCAUCAACCUUCAGAUAUUAAACUUGCAAAGGUGUGAUGCUCUACACAGCCUUCCUUCAACGGUCACUCAAUUGUGCAACUUAAGGCGCCUUGGACUGGGUGAUACACCAAUAAAUCAGGUUCCGGAAGGGAUAGGUAGAUUGAAAUUCCUGAAUGAUUUGGAAGGAUUCCCUAUUGGUGGUGGAACUGAUUGUGGUAAAGCACAAGAUGGAUGGAAGUUGGAAGAGUUGGGACAUCUGUUGCAGCUAAGGAGACUUGAUAUGAUCAAAUUGGAAAGAGCAACGACUUGUCGUACAGAACCAUUGCUAACGGACAAAAAAUAUCUCAAACUUUUGAGGCUAUACUGCACGAAGCAUCGGGUUGAAUCUUAUUCAGAAGAUGAUGUUGGCAAUAUUGAGAAGAUCUUCGAACAGCUUAUCCCUCCACACAGCCUGGAAGAACUUGUUAUUGCUAAUUUCUUUGGUCGAAGGUUCCCCACCUGGUUUGGUACCACCCAUUUGGUCUCAAUCAAAUACAUGAUCCUUGCAGACUGCAAUUCCUGUGUGCAUCUUCCCCCGCUCUGGCAACUAACCAACCUAAAAUACCUAAAAAUUCAUGGAGCAGGAGCAGUUACCAAGAUUGGGCCCGAAUUCGUGGGCUGCAGGGAGGGAAAUCCCAGAUCCACGGUGGCAGUUGCUUUCCCCAAGCUUGAAAUGUUGGUCAUCUGGGAUAUGCCCAACUGGGAGGAGUGGUCCUUUGUUGAAGAAGGAGAUGCAGCGGCAGCAUCUAUGGAAGGGGAAGAGGACGGAUGUGCUGAGAUUCGAAAAGGGGAAGCCCCGUCUCCAAGGUUGCAGGUGCUGCCACGCUUGAAGAGGUUGGAACUUGCAGGCUGCCCCAAGCUGAGAGCUCUCCCACGACAGCUUGGACAGGAGGCCACCUGCUUGGAAGGGCUCAUACUGAGAGGAGCAAGCAGCUUGAAGGUGGUGGAGGACCUCCCGUUCCUCUCUGAGUCGCUUACAAUUUGUGGAUGUGAUGGCCUGGAGAGAGUCUCGAACCUUCCAGUAUUAAGGGAACUGUAUGCGCAGGACUGCCCACACUUAAGGUGUGUUGAGGGGUUGGGAAGUUUGCAGCAGCUGUGGUUGGACGAUGGUAUGCAGGACAUCUCUUCAAAGUGGGUGCCGGGGCUUCAAGAGCAGCACUUGAAGCUUCACGGUGAUGACCUGGAUAUCUACACAUGGCCUAGAGUUUGAGAUAAUAACUGCUUAGAUGGCACGCUGGUACAAGGGGAUUAAAUUGGUGGCUUGUUGCCAUCAGGUACGGUGCGAUUAAAUCCACCGUGUAACAAUUUGCAGCACUGAGUCCUCUCAAAACUGCAAUCUGCACAAGGGACAAGGGGAUGACCACAUCGCCCGUUAGCAGCCAAUGCAUAUGCGGACGAACCUCAACUGUGAACAAUCAAGACUGUAUCGGAUUUAGUCAUUAUUUUAUAUAUGCAGGGAAGCUCAAAGGCGUUGAUUCACUGAACAUAUAUUGGCUUAUCAGUUAUCAAGUAUAUAUUUCCCCACAUUCAGGUAUUUAGGAACGGAGGGAGUAUUUAUGUAGUUAGUAUCAUUAUCUGGAGCCUGGUGUAGUUCCGGUCAAAAGGAAAACGGGGGCACAAUUACGGAGGGAGGAUGAAAGAGGCAGUCGUCGUUGGUCACAUAGCCGGAUGGAAACUUUAUUACCCUCGGGCCUCGGCUUCUGCAUCCAGGAUGCUGUCGAUAGAACCGAAUUCAUUCCAUCUGAGUUGAAUUUUGUAGCCGGAUGAAAACUUUAUUACCCUCCGGAGGUGGUCAUGGCUAAGCCGUGUUCUUCAGUCCAUUCAGUGUGGCUUGGAUGGGCACGAGGCGGGGGCUUGUUGCGACAAUUUCUAAAAGUAAUUUUCAUUAGUACCUUGAACAAAAUUUUGGCAGGCCUGGAAUUUUGAGAGAAAAUAAUUUUUUUGAGACCACUGUAGGAUGAUGCAUUGAUGCUUAGGCGGCCUAGUUGCAGCUAAGAGAGAACAAGGGGCCAAGACAAGAGCCGGCCUUUGCCUCCUGUCAAUUUAUUAUUCCCUUCCCAUCCAUCCUCAAAUCUUGCUUCUUGCUGCACCAUACGCAUCAAUACUUUCUUGGAGGCUUCAUAUUUCCUUGUCUGUUUCGAGGACAGAACUAUUGACUCUAAUAUGGAGGGGAUUUAAAACUUUUCUUUUUCUUGGCCUCGUUAA